rnacentral:lncRNA from 1 species
UUUUUCCCCUGGUUUUCCCCUCAUUAAGCUGUUAGUGCUGGGAAAAGAAAUGAGCCUUAUCUGGUUUCUGGUUUGCUACCUGCCUAACCAUUAUCAGCUGGCAUCAGGUUGAAUGAAGAAUUACAGCCUAAAAGAAGUGCAGCUGCUGCGCGUCAUCAGAUUUGAGUGUUUUCCAUCAAGCUGUUUAUCCUGGAGUUUGAUAAAGCAGCAGAGUAAGCACCUGGCCCCAAGUCCUUGGUUGGGAAACUACAGCCCUUGUUCAUGGAUGUACUGCUGGGGUUAUCAGGAAAAACAAAGGAAUGCCUACAACCCUACAGCAAACUGUCUGGGAAAUUUUUACAUGGGAUUGCAUCUUCAUAGGAAUACUGUGGAUGAUCACAGACUGAAAGCUAUGACUUCAGCUGGCUACAGCAGCAGACUGAGUAGCAGGAAACUUAGUCUGGGAUAACGGUUUGGAUUUUGCAUGUCAUUCAGUCAGUAACCAUAGGUGACUUCUGUACCCUGGCAAACAGUUGAGAUAAAGAAAUAAAAGAAAACACAGAAACA